rnacentral:rRNA from 1 species
GACGGAAGGUGCAAGCGUUGCUCGGAAUCACUGGGCGUAAAGGGUGCGUAGGCGGCCGUGCAAGUCUGGCGUGAAAGCCCCGGGCUCAGCCCGGGAAGUGCGCUCGAAACUGCGCGGCUCGAGUGCCGGAGGGGAGAGUGGAAUUCCUGGUGUAGCAGUGAAAUGCGUAGAUAUCAGGAGGAAUACCGAUGGCGAAGGCAGGUCUCUGGGCUGACACUGACGCUCAUGCACGAAAGCGUGGGGAGCAAACAGGG